rnacentral:lncRNA from 1 species
AUCAAACGGCUACAAACAAGGGGGCCCUCUAAAGUUAUAAUAAAUGUAGCCGUUGGAUCAAAUUUCAACUACCCGAAUCCCUUGCUUAGCAGGCUCAGCUUUAAUGGGUCCGAAAGGGAUCCGGUUCCUAAAAAUUGUAGUACAUAGCAACAAAUUGAUGUGGCAUCCUCCAAAACCUUGCAUAGAUAAAUUGUGAAGGGUAAAAAUCUGGCAGUAAAAACUGUGGAUUUAAAUUAAUAUCUUAGUAUUAUUCCUCUUGAAGAAAGUUAAAGUUCUAACUUAAACUCUCGCAAGGUUUCUCCUUUUACCAACGUGGGAUUCUUUUACCUUUACAUCUCACACAUUGACUCACGUGUAGUGAAUUUUCAAGCCAAACAUGUGGACAACAUGAAUUGAGUGUCGUGGAGCACAUGUGACCAUUGGUCUUCACACGUAGGGUUAACCUAGCUCUGAUACAUGAAGAAAGUUAGGGUUCCACCAUAGAACCAAUUGGCAAUAUAGGGAGUAGUCCAACCUCUUAUAAGCAGGUUUUUUCUUUCACCAAUAUGAAACUUUUUUACCUUCACCCAACAUUAAAGUUGAAGGAAAGGGAUCCUCUCCGGAUCCCUUCCUCCUAAUCUACCAAAUCUGGGGAUCCAGACCAUUGAAAUUUGAUUCAACCGCUAAAGUUAUUAUAACUUCUAAAGUGGGCCCCUAUUUGUAGUCGGUAGAUUAAAUUUUAAUGGUUCGGAUCUUCGAACUUAGUGGAUUAGGAGAAAAUGAUCCGGAGAGGAUCCCUUUCCAAAGUUGAAAACAAUUAUAUGCAAAAGCUCCUGAAGUUCCUUGAGAAUCUACGAAGACGACAUUAAUUAUCAUGUUCAGAUUUUGAUUUCACGAAGACAUUCGCAUUUUAUUUAUUUUUUUCCAUUCUGUACUUUUUACCCUAGUCCCCUUUUUUCCACCAAACAAUUGUUUAAUUAAAGUACUGUUUAUCUAAAACUUAAGAGUAAUGAUAAGUAAAACAAUUUUUUAGAUCAAACUGCAAUUCAUGUGUGCAACAAUUAAAAAUACUUAAAAUAUAACUUUAACCUCUCAAAUUCAAUUUCUUUUAUAUAAAAUCCGACAAAACCUCUUUAUUCAAAUAAAAUCUAAUGAUCAGACUCCACAUAACCACAUUUAUUAAUUACAUUUGACUUUACACAUUUUAAAUUUUCCCAAUAUCUAAAAUAUCCUUUUUUGCAUGUUUUCAUGUGCACAAUUAAACAUAUGCAGAUUUUAAGAAGGAUUAAUAAUUUUACAAAAAUAAAAAAGCACUAAUAUUCUAAAUGCAUUGCAUGUUAUAUGAGAAUUUAGCAUUUUCACGUUUUGUAAUAAAUUUGGUUGAUUCAUGUUUCUCUCAUUCCAUAAAAUUUGCUUCUAAUUUGAUAUAGGAAUUAAUUUGGAAAGAUUUCUUAAUCUUAACAAUAUUUUUCAAUUUGAAUAUAUUUUUGGGUAAAUUACAUUCAACCACCUCAACUUUAAGCCACAUUACAAUCUCAUACCUCAUAUGUUAAACAUUACAAUGUCAAACCUCCGUUAAAAAAUUUGUUAAGUAAGCAGUUAAGUGAUGAUGUGGCGACAUUGAAUCCCACAUUUGUGCUGACAUGUCACCCAACUAAUGCCACAUGGCCAAACAAGUAAUAAAA